rnacentral:lncRNA from 10 species
UUGUGAUGUGCGUUAGUCAAUAGAAGUGGCUGAAGUGAUGGCGCGCCAGUUUUUAGCCUACACUUCAAGAAGCCUAUGGACUUCCACUUGCUGUCUUGAAACCCUGUUUGAAAAAGGUUCCCUGAGGACAAGGCCAGACUAGCCUGCUGGAGGAUGAGAAAGCUAAAGCUUGGUGAGAUUACGGAAGCCUACAGUUACACAGCUGACUCCCUCCAGAGGCCCCAUCCACACCCACUGUUGGACUCCUGCUACUCUCGGAGGCUUGGAGUUGGUUUCUCCUCCCCCAAAUCGGUCUCAACACUUACCCUUACUUCCUGCUCUUCGUGGUCUCAGCCUCACUGUUCUUCGUGGACUCAUUUUUUCUCUUCCCUUUGUUUUAUUUUUGUCUCUUUCUUUCUUUUUUGGCUUCAGUGGAGUCCUAGCCUUAAGGUUUUCCUUCUCUAACCCCUUGUUCCCCUUCCAUUCUCUUUCCAGCCCUCUGUAAGCUGCAGCACAGUGUUUACAGUUAAGCCAGCCUCCAUUGAGGCCUUCAGUUGCCGAAGUUCAAAAAAAUCAACCUAGAAUAACAACGUAUUGUUAUAUAAAUGGCAUCUCAGAAAUAAACUAGUCAAAUACGCUUAUCCCCACAGUUCACAUGGGGGAAAAGCUUGCUACCU